rnacentral:rRNA from 1 species
AUGCCAAUCGAACUCGGAGAUAGCUGGUUCUCCUCGAAAUAGCUUUAGGGCUAGCGUCGUGUUAGUAGCACAUGGGGGUAGAGCUCUGUAAAGGACUGGGGCGGGCAACUGUACCCACCCUUAACAAACUACGAAUACCAUGUGUGUAAUCACGGCAGUUAGAACAUCGGUGCUAAGAUCGGUGCUCAAAAGGGAAACAGCCCAGACCAUCAUCUAAGGUCCCUAAAUUAACGUUCAGUGGGAAACAAGGUGAGAUUUCUUAAACAGCUAGGAUGUUGGCUUAGAAGCAGCCAUUCAUUUAAAGAGUGCGUAACAGCUCACUAGUCAAGAGAUCUUGCGUGGAAAAUGUAACGGGGCUAAAACGUUAUACCGAAGAUAUGGAUUACACGCUAAGUACAAAGUUAAAGUUGUGUUACAAUCAAUUUAUGGAAAAUGAGAUUUACGUAGGUAGCGUUUAUAAACACUAUAAAGGCAAUAAGUAUGUUGUUGUAAGUAUAGCUGUUCAUACUGAGACGCUUGAAGAGCUUGUAGUUUAUCGAGCCAUUUAUGGCGACGGAGAAUUAUGGGCUAGGCCUAAGAAAAUGUUUUUAGAUAAUAUUGAAAAAGACGGAAAGAUCAUUCCAAGGUUUAAAUUGAUUAAGAAACUUUGAUUUUGUUCUUAGUGUGUAGUGGUAGAGGAGCGUUCCUAUCAGCAGUGAAGUCGAAUCGGAAGGUUCGGUGGAGCGGUAGGAAGUGAGAAUGCUGGAAUGAGUAACCAUAAGAGAGGUGAGAAUCCUCUCGGCCGUAAGAGCAAGGUUUCCUGAGCCAUGGUAAUCAUCUCAGGGUUAGUCGGGCCUAAGCCGAGGCGCAGAGCGUAGGCGAUGGACAUCAGGUUAAUAUUCCUGAACCGGUUAAGUUUUGUACACUGUUCACGGGGAAGUAAUCGAAGCGGAUUCAUGGUUUAUCCGUCCAACCGAGCGGGAACGCAAAGGGAGUGAAAGUGAUUCUUCGGAGUCGCGAUUUUGGUGAAAGCCCUGGCUAGAAAAGCAGGUGUACGCGUGGACUUAGCCGCCCGUACCGCAAACCAACACAGGUGCUCGAGUCGAGUAGACUCAGGCUUACGAGCGAACCUUCGCUAAGGAACUCGGCAAUACAGCGACCGUAACUUCGGGAUAAGGUCUGCCCCCACUUCGGUGGAUAUCAGCCGCGUUCACUCAGUGAAUAUUAGGUUAAAGAGUACAUUUUUAAUCACAAAACGAAUUUUCUGAGAUAGAGCAAACGAAUUGUUCUUUUGAACGCGAACCUCUGACAUCUAACGAUGUGGGGGCCGCAGCAAAAGAGCCCACGGAACUGUUUAUCAAAAACACAGGUCUCUGCUAACACGAAAGUGGAUGUAUAGGGGCUGACUCCUGCCCAAUGCUGGAAGGUUAAGGGGAGCGCUUCACGGUGCGAACUGAAGCCCUAGUCAAUGGCGGCGGUAACUAUAACCGUCCUAAGGUAGCGAAAUUCCUUGUCAGGUAAGUUCUGACCCGCACGAAUGGAGUAAUCAUGUGGGCACUGUCUCAGCGAAGGACUCGGUGAAAGUGCAUUGGCGGUAAAGAUGCCGUCUGUCCGUACCAGGACGAAAAGACCCCAUGGAGCUUUACUACAGCUUUACAUUGAAUAUGGUUUCAACAUGUGUAGCAUAGGUGGGAGACUUUGAAGCAGAUACGCCAGUAUUUGUGGAGUCACCAAGUGAAAUACCACCCUUGUUGUGAUUGUGUUCUCACGCUGACCGUUAUCCGGUUAGCGGACCGUGUAUGGUGGGUAGUUUAACUGGGGCGGUUGCCUCCUAAAGAGUAGCGGAGGCGUUCAAAGGUUGGCUAACUUCGGAUGGAAAUCGAAGUGAUAGUGUAUGCGCAUAAGCCAGCUUGACUGUGAGGAGUACAUUCCAAUCAGAGACGAAAGUCGGAGCAAGUGAUCCGCUGUACGUACAUUUGUACAUGAAUGUGGGAUCGACAGCGCAAACGGAUAAAAGUUACCCUGGGGAUAACAGGCUUAUAGCGCCCAAUAGUUCACAUAGACGGCGCUGUUUGGCACCUCGAUGUCGGCUCAUCACAUCCUGGAGGGGGAGCACCUUCCAAGGGUUCGGCUGUUCGCCGAUUAAAGUGGUACGCGAGCUGGGUUCAGAACGUCGUGAGACAGUUCGGUUUAUAUCCGGUAUGGACGAUAGGAAACUUGAGAGGAUCUACCCCUAGUACGAGAGGACCGGGGCGGACGCACCUCUGGUGUAUCGAUUGUGGCCACCUGCUGCAUUGUCGAGUAGCUAUGUGCGGACUAGAUAAGCGCUGAAAGCAUAUUAAGCGCGAAACUAACCUCAAGAUAAGGUUUCCCUAUGAGGACACAGAAAGACUAUCUGUUUGAUAGGCGCAAGGUGGAAGUACAGUAAUGUAUGGAGCUAAAGCGUACUAAUAGUCCCAUUGCCUUUUUAUG